rnacentral:rRNA from 1 species
UACGGAGGGGGCUAGUGUUGUUCGGAAUUACUGGGCGUAAAGGGCGCGUAGGCGGCUUGGCAAGUGGAAGGUGAAAUCCCUCGGCUUAACCGAGGAACUGCCCUCCAAACUGCUUCGCUUGAGACCGGGAGAGGUGAGUGGAAUUCCCAGUGUAGCGGUGAAAUGCGUAGAUAUUGGGAGGAACACCAGUGGCGAAGGCGGCUCACUGGACCGGUACUGACGCUGAUGCGCGAAAGCGUGGGGAGCAAACGGG